UGCCUAAAGCAUAACAUUAAUGCAUUGGAUCCCAUUAGAACUAUGGAGUUAAACGCGCUUCAGUUAGAGUAGUACUAGGAUGGGUGAUAGCCCGAUAAGUUCUAGUGUUUUACAUGC
rnacentral:rRNA from 1 species